rnacentral:rRNA from 1 species
GAUGAACGCUGGCGGCGUGCCUAAUACAUGCAAGUCGAGCGAACAGACGAGGAGCUUGCUCCUCUGACGUUAGCGGCGGACGGGUGAGUAACACGUGGAUAACCUACCUAUAAGACUGGGAUAACUUCGGGAAACCGGAGCUAAUACCGGAUAAUAUAUUGAACCGCAUGGUUCAUUAGUGAAAGACGGUUUUGCUGUCACUUAUAGAUGGAUCCGCGCCGCAUUAGCUAGUUGGUAAGGUAACGGCUUACCAAGGCAACGAUGCGUAGCCGACCUGAGAGGGUGAUCGGCCACACUGGAACUGUGACACGGUCCAGACUCCUACGGGAGGCAGCAGUAGGGAAUCUUCCGCAAUGGGCGAAAGCCUGACGGAGCAACGCCGCGUGAGUGAUGAAGGUCUUCGGAUCGUAAAACUCUGUUAUUAGGGAAGAACAAAUGUGUAAGUAACUAUGCACGUCUUGACGGUACCUAAUCAGAAAGCCACGGCUAACUACGUG